UGAGAUGUUGGGUUAAGUCCCGCAACGAGCGCAACCCUUGUGUUUAGUUGGAUUUUUCUAAACAGACUGCCUUGGUAACGGGGAGGAAGGAGGGGAUGAUGUCAGGUCCGUAUUGCCCUUACACCUGGGGCUACAAACACGCUACAAUGGCCAGUACAAUGGGCAGCUAAAUCGCGAGAUGGAGCAAAUCCCACCAAAGCUGGUCCCAGUUCGGAUUGCAGGCUGAAACUCGCCUGCAUGAAGUCGGAAUCGCUAGUAACCGUAGGUCAGAACACUACGGUGAAUACGUUCCCGGGUCUU
rnacentral:rRNA from 1 species